rnacentral:rRNA from 1 species
GUGGCGGCAGGCCUAUCACAUGCAAGUCGAGCGGUAGAGAGAAGCUUGCUUCUCUUGAGAGCGGCGGACGGGUGAGUAAUGCCUAGGAAUCUGCCUGGUAGUGGGGGAUAACGUUCGGAAACGGACGCUAAUACCGCAUACGUCCUACGGGAGAAAGCAGGGGACCUUCGGGCCUUGCGCUAUCAGAUGAGCCUAGGUCGGAUUAGCUAGUUGGUGAGGUAAUGGCUCACCAAGGCGACGAUCCGUAACUGGUCUGAGAGGAUGAUCAGUCACACUGGAACUGAGACACGGUCCAGACUCCUACGGGAGGCAGCAGUGGGGAAUAUUGGACAAUGGGCGAAAGCCUGAUCCAGCCAUGCCGCGUGUGUGAAGAAGGUCUUCGGAUUGUA